AAACAUUUAUCGAUGUCGCGAAAAAUUUGAAGGACAUGACUAAUAGUGAAGUGUUUAGGUUGAGCUAAAUAUUUUUUACCAAAAUUACAAGUAUAGCCCAUAUUUUGAGCAGAAAAAAGCUCGUAUUAUUGUACAUAGCAGUGAAUAAAAAGUAGCUUGCACAAAUGAGGAUGACAUCUCCAACGAAAAUUAUGCUUAUAGCAUGUGGUUCGUUCAGCCCUCCAACGCCGAUGCAUUUUCGGAUGUUUGAAAUCGCUCGGGAUCAUUUUGAGCAGAUGGGAACAGCUCAUGUAGUUGGCGGAGUCAUUUCCCCGGUACAUGAUUCUUACGGUAAAAAUGGACUAGUUACUGCAACGCACCGUUGCACUAUGAUCAAGAUUGGACUGCAAUCGUCAGAUUGGAUCCGGCUGUCGGAAUGGGAAACACAACAAGAAGAAUGGACUAGGACACGACUUACCUUGCAGUAUCAUCAGAACUUUGUAAAUUCAUAUCUGAAAGACUCGAAUAAUAGAAAUGAUCAACAUAUUCCAUCAUGGAUCCCAGAAGGGUUAAAAAAGACUGCUGGACAUGUCCAGAUGAAGCUACUUUGUGGGGCGGAUUUGCUUGAAUCCUUUGCUACGCCUGGUCUGUGGAAAGACGAAGACAUAGAAGCGAUCGUUGGUCAACAUGGAAUAGUGGUUGUAUCUCGUGCCGGAGCAAAUGCGGAGCAGUUUAUUUUUAAUUCUGAUUUACUGAGCAGAUACAGGAGAAACAUUACAAUCGUCACGAACUGGAUUACAAACGACGUCAGUUCAACACUAGUGCGCCGUUUGCUCAAUCGAGGAUUGUCAGUCAAAUAUUUACUGGAUGAUUAUUUGAUUGAAUACAUAAAAAAGAAUGGCUUGUAUGGCACCAAUGAUACUAAGUACAUUUUGCCUGUUAGUACGAGCGGGGAAAUGAUGAGCAUAUCGCCUGUCUCUCCCAUCAACGAUAAUGACGAUUAUGUUGAGAGUCGAAACGAGUUAAACACGUUUAGCACAUUGGAAUCGAUGGAUGACACUGAUUUUCCGCAAAAUACUUUGAAUCGUGUUUUCUGUUGUGGAACGGAAAACAAUGCAAAAACAGCAACCAGAAAUGCGAGAGGAUUUCUGACCCACCCUGGAAGUGCUGUUCAGAUAAUAACAACAACGACAACAUCAGCAGCUACUUCUAAUGCAUCAUCAGUUGUGUCUGAUUCGGGAGUAGGUUCCAUCGCUCAUCACACAGCAGAUGGCAAGGUAUGUGACAACAAAAGUACAAUACCAACAAGCACAAAGAAAUACGAAACUUGCACUAAAGGUAACACUACGGCACAAGAUGCACAAAGCGAUCUCAAUUUACACAACAGCACAGGCAAAAGCACGCUAGAAGAUUCUAAAAAACCUAAGGAUUUGAAGCUUUGUGUUACCGAACUGGAAAUUCCUCGUAUUCAAAGUAACGCAUCAAUCACCACUGCUGCUUCAAAUGAAACGAAUAUUCACGUAGAAUCAAGCAAAGACAGGAAUCGUGGUACAUCCGCUGGACGCAUUAGUCCCGCGAAAAGCUACGACGAUAUGAUAAAAUUUGUCUUUACGGAGCAUGGCAUUCGAGUUAUCAGCGAUCGCGAAUAUGUGGUUUAAACGCAUUUCGAACUUUGCUCGUCAAGGAUCACUCAUGUUCAAUUCUAGCGUACAAACUAUUUGGUCGUCCCCAAGAAGCUGAAACUUUCUGCGGUGCAAGUCUAAUGGAAUUAAAUAUGUAGUCGAGUGUACUGCCUACGAAUCAGCAACGAUAUUAAAAUAAUGGUAAAAAUAGGAACGGUGAUAAACCGUUAACACUCAUCUCGUUACAUUGAAUACCGGUGUGGCUAACAAUAUACCGAAGAGAAGAUUGGUGUAGAACUGAUUGGUUUGCAAUUUUUAACUCAAGUAAAAAUACAACUGUAGCAACAUUGUAUCUUUUAAUCUUGCAUGAAACGGGGAACCUAUAAACCUUUGCUUCUAAAACAUGAUGUUUGUAAUUUAUUUUUUCUUUCUGUCUUCUAUGUAGGAGAGUAGCUAAAUUAAUGUUGACUGUUAUUUAUUUGUUAUUUUACGAAGCCGUUUAGCAAAGAGUCUCAAUUUUGCGUGGGCACUUAAUUUCGUUCAUUGUGAUACAUUUAGGUACUGGAAAAUGCUAUUUUUCCUCAAAAAAUACUGAAUUUGCGAACGAAUUUAGGAACCUACGUGAAAUCGCCCCGCUUUUCGGUAUGAAGCAAACUAUUGUGCAGUGUGGCUGCGCAAUUUUUGUUUGGACUCUGCUCAAAUAAUUAAUUGUAUAAUCUUGUAGAACAUACAUAAAUUGGUAAAAAAUAGACAAA